rfam:Picea glauca, whole genome shotgun sequence.
ACAUGCCUACAACAUAACAUUAAUGCACCUAAUCCCAUUAUAACUGCGCAGUUAAACGCGGUGAGGAUAGAGUAGUAUUGGGAUGGGUGACCGCUUAAUAAUUCCUAGUGUUUUGCAUGCC